CGUGCGGUGGCAGAGUAUUCAUGUGCCGGUCUGCAAAACCGGAUUACGCGGGUGAGAUUCCCGUCCGCACGUCCA
rnacentral:tRNA from 1 species